UUGACAUGACACCAACCAACAGGCCUGUAGGGCCAAGGGCACUAACAGGCCCUGACCAGCCCCACCUGGGUCCUCACCACCCGGGGCACCAUUUAAGCUCAGCCCUGAGGCUGCACUUCCUGCUGGGCUGUGCUGACCCUCAGCCUGGUCAUGCUGCCACAUGGCUGCUGCAUCGCCCAGCUCUGUCCUCCAAGUUGUCCAUGGUGGCCUUUUGCAGAUUGUUAUUCGGAGUCCUGUUUUGGGGAACCUGAGUGUUUUGCUGCACUGCGGUCUUCAAACAGGGAAAAAAAUUAAAAUUCCUUAUGUGCUGGAAGAAUGAAGAGCUUACAGAAUUGUCUGUUUUCUAUAUACAUUGAUUGAGAGGAUGAGUAUUUGAAAGGACCAGUACCAAGAAGACUUUCAGCAGUGAUUGCCAGUUCAAAACUGAAAUCAGUGAAUAUAGGAGCUGUACUGGACUGUAAUUCUUCAUUGUGGAUUUCUAUUUAUGCUUUUUUGCUAGAUAGUAUUUUGGAAGAAUGUAAGGCAGUUCCAGAAAACUCUAUCUAUCAACAGCAAUUUGGUGGAAGCUGUCAAAGGAUCUAUAUCCUAUCUGACCUGCUUUGCAACUCAGUCUGUGUAGUCCUCGCUGCACUCAUGAAUGUGCUCAUUUGUCACAAAAGACUACUUUGCCUUCCUUCUUAUUGUUGAAAUAUUAAUAUUUACAUUUGAAACCAAACCCAGACUUAUUCUGAUGUUGUAUUACAAAUGGCAUUGCUAAAAAGGACGUUCGCAUCUCCUAAAAGAGCGGUUCCAACUUGACGGUUUUUCUAGCUGGAAUCAGUAUGAUGAAUACAUGACAACUGUGAGAGAAUGUGACCAAUUUUCCUCAGAAAGACUGGCACAUCUGAACAGUUGCUCAAAUAUGACAACAAUAAAAAUCCAGAUAAAACUUUGUUUUCAAUUCUUGAAAUGUUCAGUGGUGGUGGUGUUUUUUUCCCAAAUAUGAACCCCUAAACAACUAAAUCCCACCAAAUUCUGCAUGUAACCAAUUUUUUUUUUUUUUUAGAUAAAAGUGAAUGACCCGUUAGCAGUGGGUGAUUAGCUUCCCUAAUCUUCAGAACAAAAUUAAAACAGUAAGCUUGGUCAGAUGAAAUAAAAUAUCAAAAAAUUUGUCUGAAAACAGGUCUGUUCUCCAGUGCAAAUCUCAUUUACCUUCAAGAACUCAGAUACUAAAAAUAGCAUUGAGUCUUGCAAAUUGGAAAAGCAGUUAUUCUAAUACAACCUUCAGAAAACUGAAAGUGUGGUUACUAUCUACAUAAUAGUAGAACUGGGCCAGAAAAUACAGAAAACAACUAUCUAAAUUGUAUUUCAGUAUCAGGAAAGUGAUGUGUUGUCAUUUGCUGAAUUUACUAGUGGGAUGCUGACGACCCUUCUCUGCCUACACCAUUCCUGCACAAUUCUUCCUCAAACCUCCCCUUAGCUGUGAUAUCUACAAUAAAUUUGCCAGUUAUUAGUUUGCUGAUGCAGUGAUAUGACAGGCUAUCUUGUGGAUCAAUAAUCUGUACAUUUUCUUCCAAGCACCUGUAUUUUCCUUUUAGGAUUUUUUUUUUAAUUUGCAGCAAGGGCCAUUUUGGGUCUGCACAGUCCCUUGCACGGUGGUCCACAGCAAGUACUUGUAGUUGCUAU